GCGAAAGCUAGUUGCAUUAAAUUCGAUUAAUUCGAAGUUAUUGCAGCAUCGACUAUGUCGAAUAAAGUUCUAGGUAGAGUUAUGAUAAUGACAUUUUCUAUCUAUGUGUCUUGACCAAAUCACGUGCCAGCAGUCGCGGUAAUACGUGGAAGACUAGUGUUAUUCAUCUUUAAUAGGUUUAAAGGGUACUUAGACGGUAUUUUUAGCCCAAAUAAAAACAAAGGGUACUAAUUAUACUAGAGUUUUAUGAGAGGGGGGUGCGUACGAAUGGUGUAGAGAUGAAAUUCUGUCAUACCAUUAUGACAGGCGACGGCGAAAGCAACCUUUAGUUAAAAACUGACGUUAAAGGACGAAGGCUUUGUAUCACCAACAGGAUUAGAUACCCAAGCAGUCUAAGCAGACAAUUAUGAAUGCCAUAGAUAAGAAAUCCAUGGAUAAAGAAGAAAACAUGUACUUUUCAGAAUGCCCUUUUUGGGCAUUGGUUUAUUAAAAAAAAAUAAACUUCUCCUCUUCACUUCUUCAUUUCUUGAAGAAAGAGAGAAGUCGAGAUGAAAAGAAUGGCUCGUAAUCUUAUCUAUCAUCAUCAUCUUUCAGAUGAUGAUGAAUACAUUUCUUUUAGACAGCGACUAUGUCGAAGUUAACAAAAAAAAGAAAUAAAGGAUGUAUUUUUGUCUAUAAAUGAAAGUGUAAGCAUUCCACCUCAAGAGUAAAGUGGCAACGCACAAACUGAAAUCAUUAGACCGUUUCUGAAACCAGUAGUGAAGUAUGUUGUUUAAUUUGAUGGUCCGCAAAAAACCUUACCACAAUUUGUAUAUAUUAGCUUAAUACAAGAGUUGCACGGCUGUCUUCAGUUAAUGUCGUGAGAUUUUGGUUAGUUCCAUAAAAUUAACGUAAACCCUUACUUUAUUUAUAUUAUAAAGUAGUUCACCACUAUAUUGGAUAUGAUA
rnacentral:rRNA from 1 species